rnacentral:rRNA from 1 species
UAGCCGUAAACGAUACCCGCUAGGUGUCGGCCACGGUGCGACCGUUGUCGGUGCCGUAGGGAAGCCGUGAAGCGAGCCACCUGGGAAGUACGGCCGCAAGGCUGAAACUUAAAGGAAUUGGCGGGGGAGCACAACAACGGGUGGAGCUUGCGGUUUAAUUGGACUCAACGCCGGGAGGCUCACCGGAUAAGACAGCGGAAUGAUUGCCGGGCUGAAGACCCUGCAUGACCAGCUGAGAGGUGGUGCAUGGCGUAGACGUCU